rnacentral:lncRNA from 1 species
UUAGCACUGGCUAUAGAUUGGCUAAACAGUAGGAUACAGGACUUGUGUAUUUCGCGUAAUAUGCACAAUGGAAAGCAAGCAGCAUGUGAAUCCUUGACGAAAACAGACUUGUAGGUUAUUCAAGCAAAUUAAAAUCAGCUACAAAUACCCUAUUUCGAGGCGAAUGAAGUCAAUGGCUGUUAUCGGAAUAUGACAACUUCAACAGGCUGCGACUGUACUUUUACCGAUAGUUUAGUAUUACCGUAGUUUAGGGUCACAAGUCCAUUUUCGCUACGGUUUCACAUGCUGCAACGAUGAACACGUGAUGAUAUAAACGACAAAACAACCAUGGCUCAUAUCUAACGUCAAAUUCAAAAUCGCCUUCAGAAACGGUCUCCUAUAUUUGUUGGAAAUAACUUCAGGAAUUUUGAAACACUUUUACAACUAUGUUGAAACGUGUUGUUAUUUUCCUAAAGCUGAUAUUUCGUACUCUAGGGAAAGCUUUUGAAUGAAAAAGGCGAUUCAAAACAUCAAAUAGAUUGAGCCAUGUGGAACAACACAACACGAAAACAAAACACAAGACAAGUUUGGGGACUUAAGAGAAACACAAAUUUUCAUCACCGUUUACGCAAAUUUUGAAGAAAAAAAAACAUCACAGGAAAUGCACGGUAGAUGAAAUUUUUUGUUUCUCGAAACCCAAUGAAGCAAAUGACCACAAAUUCUGCUCGUGGAAACUACUUCAUGUUAUUCGCUGCGAUUUUUAUUGCGAUGAAACAAGUUUAAUUCAGUUGAUUACAGGGAUUUUCUCUUGGUGGGGCAAGGCACGGUUAAUAGAACUAGAUGGUUAGGCUAGCGGCGAAACUUCAAAGGUGGCGGCGAAUGAUGUUG